AAGAAACUGCAAUGUUUACAGGCAGCAGACCCUCCCUCCCAGACCCUCCCACCUCCUGGACAGCAUCCGUUUUACAUUCAUUGUGAAGCUGCAUUCUUAGUGAGCUGUCCAGGAGGUGGGAGGGUCUGGGAGGGAGGGUCUGCUGCUAUGUAAACAUUGCAGUUUCU